rnacentral:lncRNA from 1 species
CCAAUCUCCUUGACUACGUCUGCAUUCUUCCACCAGUUCACCAUGAGCACGGAUUCUUUGCUGUGCCUGCGAUGCAUGCCUCACACGACCAUAUAUGAUCAUCCAUCGUAUGAUGGAUAGUGUAUGCUGUAUACCAUACCGUAUGGUAUAUAGUAGAGGAUCCGUGCUCGUUGGGCAUAUGCUUUCUUUGACGUUGUUUUCCUUUAUUUUCUAAGUAUUGCUAGCAACUGGAAGAGUGUCCAACCAUCAUGCGAAAAUACAUUAACAGGGGCAGAGGUUGUCGUGUUUAAUAACAUUGCCAACAAUUAGUUGCAGCUAAUACAUUAAAAUAAAUCUAUAUUCAGAUUACUCUCCGAAU